UGCAUGUUUAGUCCUAAUGUAUGCGCAAGC
rnacentral:sRNA from 1 species